GUUACUAUACUUUAUAUAGAAGUUUUGGUUUGCAACUAAAUAGAGGGGAAAGCCCCUAGUACC
rnacentral:tRNA from 1 species